AAACUCACAAAGGGGAGUCCAAUUGGGCUGAGAUUGAAUCUAUUUCUAAACCCUUCGUACCUGUAUCGGUUAUGCGAGCGUAGGAAUUGUGAAUAAACAGCUG
rnacentral:ncRNA from 2 species